rnacentral:rRNA from 1 species
UACGGAGGGUGCGAGCGUUGUCCGGAAUCAUUGGGCGUAAAGGGCGCGUAGGUGGCCCGGUCAGUUCGUGGUGAAAGCGCGGGGCUCAACCCUGCGUCGGCCAUGAAUACUGCCGCGGCUGGAGCACUGUAGAGGCAGGCGGAAUUCCGGGUGUAGCGGUGGAAUGCGUAGAGAUCCGGAAGAACACCGGUGGCGAAGGCGGCCACCUAGCCCGCACCUGACGCUGAGGCGCGACAGCGUGGGGAGCGAACUGG